UGGGGAAUUUUGGACAAUGGACGCAAGUCUGAUCCAGCCAUGCCGCGUGCGGGAAGAAGGCCUUCGGGUUGUAAACCGCUUUUGUCAGGGAAGAAAUCUUCUGGGUUAACACCUCGGGAGGAUGACGGUACCUGAAGAAUAAGCACCGGCUAACUACGUGCCAGCAGCCGCGGUAAUACGUAGGGUGCGAGCGUUAAUCGGAAUUACUGGGCGUAAAGCGUGCGCAGGCGGUUAUGUAAGACAGAGGUGAAAUCCCCGGGCUCAACCUGGGAACUGCCUUUGUGACUGCAUAGCUUGAGUGCGGCAGAGGGGGAUGGAAUUCCGCGUGUAGCAGUGAAAUGCGUAGAUAUGCGGAGGAACACCGAUGGCGAAGGCAAUCCCCUGGGCCUGCACUGACGCUCAUGCACGAAAGCGUGGGGAGCAAACAG
rnacentral:rRNA from 1 species